CAGAGAGAGAGAGAUUGUGAGACAGAGAGAGAGAUUGUGAGACAGAGAGAGAGAUUGUGAGACAGAGAGAGAUUGUGAGACAGAGAGAGAGAUAUUGUGAGACAGAGAGAGAGAUUGUGAGACAGAGAGAGAGAGAUUGUGAGACAGAGCAGAACAAAAAGAAUUUUACAGAAAUAAAGAGAGAGAGAGAGAGACAGAAAGGAAGGCGACGCGGUCACCUUUCCCUGAAGAUGCAGGUUGUUCUGUAGGAACUCUCUCACCUCUUCAUCCGUGUCUUUCUGUUAAUAGAAGCACACGAGCAGGUUAUUGAUGUUUAUGACAGUGCAGGUUUUACACAGAGAAGAACACAGAUCGUCGGGAGAGCGGACACACUGCAGUACACGGUGACAGACACACUUCUCAUCCUGCAGACUGAAGGAACACAGAGGAACAUUACUACAGGUGAACUGUCUGGUUUCUGUGGCGACUGUACCAGAGAGUAGCGGAACUUGGCGAGGUUAAUGAGCUCAUGAUCGGCCGGAGAGCACAUGUUGAGACCGAUAGGGAGCAUCUUCUUCAGAGCGGCCACGAUCAGAGAGGUCUGCACAGAGUAACGGUCCCCUCGCCUCUUCUUCUUAGUACGUUCUACAUCAGAGCCACCAGCCUGGGGCGAUAUUUUAAAAAAUAACAAUACAGGACAUAAAAGAGAACACAGAGAAGCAGAUUUUUUUCCUCAUGAAAAUGGGACAGAUCUCAAAGACUCGUGGCAAAAGACAUAAAAUCUCAGACUUGUACAGAGUCAUGGCACCAAAAAAAACCAAAAAAAAACUGCCUUUAAUAAAGCAAACUCAAAGCAGAACACAAUUCCAGAACUCAAACUUCUAAAUACUGGAGCAGUUUCAGCAGAUCUUCAGUCCAACACUUCCUGCCUCACACCUCAGAGCCACAACGCUACAGCUGACCUCAGACUUCUUAUAUAUGACUUUCGGAACAUUUUUCAUCAUUAAUUUACCAAUUAAUUCAUUCACUUCCUCUACACUAUCUCUACAAUACUAUAUUCUAAGCAGAGCUGGCACAGAGACGUUACCCAGGACUCAGAAUGGAGUAAUGGAGGAAAAAAACAAUGAAUUUUAUCCAGUAACAAAUGGAAAAGUUUGGAAUUGAAUUUAGAAUUUUUUUUUUGGUUACUGGAAACAUUAUAUAACAUAAAGACACUUGAUAGCAUUUCUUUUGUUAGGAUUGAUUUUAUUACAUUUACAUUUUGUACUUUAUUAUAUUUGCAACUGAACUGAUUUUGCUGUGUGUGAAAGUUAAGCAUUUCAGUGAAUAUUUCAUUUUAAAGCUUUAGUCGUUUAAAAAUAUACCAGAUGAAUUUGGGUGGGUAUGGAUAUGGACCGAUACUCAGACUUCUGCAUCAGUGUCGAAAUCAGAAGAGAGAAAGUGGCACUGUGCAGUCUCUAAUUCUAGUACAUACUAAGAAUGGAUAGAUACAGUGGCUGUAAAUAAUCUGUCACAAAUCUAAUAGUUGUGUCCUCAAAUGACAUAUCAUGCACUAUACACUUAAA
ensembl:lncRNA